rnacentral:snoRNA from 1 species
UGGUCAUAUACCAAGGCUUUUAGGAUACGUGGUUCCUGACUUGCUGUGGACAUGACCAAAAAUUAAACCCAUCCUAAUGAGUCACUUCAGUUGUGUUUCUGUUGGGAUUUAUUAGGAACAUUU